AUGAGAGGUUGGUGCGUCGAUACGGUGGACAAGACAAGACCGCAUAGGAAGGCUCUCACUAUGUUGAUGAUGUUAGUCUCAUGAGAGAUUUGGAAGGAACGCAAUGCAAGAGUUUUCCACAACGCUGCCAACCCCACCAUGAUGGUUGUUAGGAGGAUCAAGGAGGAGGCCCAUCUUUGGGCAUUAGCGGGCGCGAGACACUUGACUAAUGUAAUGCCGUCAGAGUGGUCGUUUUUCCCCGCGUUGUGGGCGUAUGCCUAA
rnacentral:rRNA from 1 species